GACGAACCGUGCGAACGUUGUUCGGAAUCACUGGGCUUAAAGGGCGCGUAGGCGGGCUCGUCCGUCCGGGGUGAAAGCCCACGGCUCAACCGUGGAAGCGCCUUGGAUACCACGAGUCUCGAGGGAGGUAGGGGCGUGCGGAACUUCCGGUGGAGCGGUGAAAUGCGUAGAUAUCGGAAGGAACACCGGUGGCGAAAGCGGCGCGCUGGACCUCUUCUGACGCUGAGGCGCGAAAGCCAGGGGAGCAAACGGG
rnacentral:rRNA from 1 species